rnacentral:rRNA from 1 species
GCCUACGGCCGUACCACAUUAAAAACACGCUUUCCCGUCCGAUCUGGCAAGUUAAGCAACGUUGGGGCUGGUUAGUACAUAUUAUACACAUAUUAAAUUAAUUUCUAUUAUGCU